rnacentral:rRNA from 1 species
GUCCUGGCCCUAAACGAUGAAUGCUUGGUGUGGCGGGUAUCGAUCCCUGCCGUGCCGAAGCUAACGCAUUAAGCAUUCCGCCUGGGGAGUACGGUCGCAAGGCUGAAACUCAAAUGAAUUGACGGGGCCCGCACAAGCGGUGGAGCAUGUGGUUCAAUUCGACGCAACGCGAAGAACCUUACCCAGGCUUGAACUGCAGAUGACAUCCUACGAAAGUAGGCUUCCGCAAGGACAUCUGUAGAGGUGCUGCAUGGCUGUCGU